GAUGAACGCUGGCGGCGUGCCUAAUACAUGCAAGUCGAGCGAACAGAUAAGGAGCUUGCUCCUUUGACGUUAGCGGCGGACGGGUGAGUAACACGUGGGUAACCUACCUAUAAGACUGGGAUAACUUCGGGAAACCGGAGCUAAUACCGGAUAACAUUUGGAACCGCAUGGUUCUAAAGUGAAAGAUGGUUUUGCUAUCACUUAUAGAUGGACCCGCGCCGUAUUAGCUAGUUGGUAAGGUAACGGCCUACCAAGGCGACGAUACGUAGCCGACCUGAGAGGGUGAUCGGCCACACUGGAACUGAGACACGGUCCAGACUCCUACGGGAGGCAGCAGUAGGGAAUCUUCCGCAAUGGGCGAAAGCCUGACGGAGCAACGCCGCGUGAGUGAUGAAGGGUUUCGGCUCGUAAAACUCUGUUAUUAGGGAAGAACAAAUGUGUAAGUAACUGUGCACGUCUUGACGGUACCUAAUCAGAAAGCCACGGCUAACUACGUG
rnacentral:rRNA from 1 species